CGGUGUGAGAAACACGGGAGAAGAUUUGCCUCGAGCACUGAAAACAAGAAAAUUUGAGGGAAUGUCAAUUCUCAUAGAUAUAGACCGCACCUCCAAGGUAGUGGAAAUGCGCACAAGAAAGAAAACUGAAUCAAACUCAUGCUUCAAGAAUUCCAAGAUUGGGACAUUUUCUAAUCCUAUUCUUAUUGAUAGCUCGGAGUCGGAGACGGACUAGAUAUGCCAUAGUAUCGUCAAUGUUGGGUAUUUUCUAGAACUUAUAUCCAUUUUCAAUUGGUUCUUUUUAAUUGCAUAUUUAGAUUUCUUAUAUUCUGUUUUAGGAAUAAUAUUUCAAAUCAUAGAUCAUUAGACAAGGAUAUGUAAGAUAUGUAUGUUGGAUGUUUAGUUCACCCUAGAAUUAUUCAUGUCCCAUGGAUUGGUAGGAUAGCUUCGGUAAUUGUGUUAUGAAUAGUUCAAGUUGCUUUAUGGCACUAUAUUUUCACGUAUUGCAAUACUAUCAAAUAUAUUGGACUAUAAUCGGGGUGUUGAACUACACCAAUUUAAAACACAAGUCUUUUGGAUAUUGACAUCUUCUUCAAGAUGGUACUUUCUCAGUUGAUUACCAUACAAAAUUACUGCAGCAUAAAACCAAUUAUGAUUUGUAUUAAAAAUAUUUGUUAUAAAUCUAGCAUCCUCAAUUUGACAUUUCAUGCUAGAGGUUCACUAUUAAUAAAUGAUGGAAUUUAUAAAACUUGCAACUGAUAUCUAGUCAAACUAUAGUUUUUGGUAGAAUCAACAAUUGGUGCCUAUAUGUAUAUUUAUCUCAUAUGAAAACCUUUGUAAUUUAUGUUUCAUAAUUGGGUAACUUAUAGUUAUUUAUGAUAUAGCUUAUAAAUGGCAUGCUAGCAACUAUACCGUGUCAUGCCAUUUUUUAAAAAAAGCAUGCUUUUAAGGAUGGUCGAUAUAGUUAACAAAAAAAUGUGAAAGUGUGGUGGAGUUGUUAGUUUUUGAAGUUAUUUCAUCUUGUAUUUCUUGGCAUAUUACUGAUCACUAAGAAAAGACAAAAGUAAAUAAAUACCGAGCAUUAACCUAUGGAUUCGAUCCACUACUUACCAUUAUAUUAUAGAACCAUUAUUUUCCUUGGCCUGGGGCUUGUGAUAGUUGUCGUAUUCCUUGAGUUCUUGGACACCAUUCAUAUGUAGUUAUCUAUAUGUGCGAAGGGGAAUUUCCUAUCAAUGCAUAAUUUAUGUUUAAUUAAUUUGCAAUGUGUUGGUCCCAAUGUUAUACAAUUUUGUUAUUAUAAUAUGUAGAAUUUUCCUUGACAAAACUUCAAAUGUAUGUAAAAUUGUGUUGUUAGAACUUGCAUAAUUUACAACGUAUUUACUUUGAGAAGUAGUAAUGUGGUUAUUCACACUUUACCUGAGUAUUAAUGUGUAGUUGGGUAGUCAGUUAGCCAUCAAUUUACCAAUCAUUUGAUAACCGCACAUUGAGCGACUUAUCUCACAAAAUUUCCUCGCCCUUUUCAGAUUAUCCUCAUGCCUUGAGACUGGUGGUUGAUGACUAGGUUGGUUGAAAGUCAAGCCAAAGGAGGAAUCAAUUUAUUUCAGAACUUGAUUCUAAAGAAAUAUAGCAAACUAUGGAGCAUUUUGUUUAUUUACAUGGACUGAAAAUUUUGCCAUUUAUUUCCAUUCCAUAUUUAUGUAUAUAACUUUAGCAUCUUGUUAUGCCAUCCAAUGGACAUCUUAAGCUUUGAUAUAUCACUUAUUUUGAUUAUUAUUUUCAUUUACUAUUUAUGAACUAUCUUACUUGAGUGUUAUGUGAUAUUGUAU
rnacentral:lncRNA from 1 species